CCUACGGGUGACAGCAGUCGAGAAUCAUUCACAAUGGGGGAAACCCUGAUGGUGCGACGCCGCGUGGGGGAAUGAAGGUCUUCGGAUUGUAAACCCCUGUCAUGUGGGAGCAAAUUAAAAAGAUAGUACCACAAGAGGAAGAGACGGCUAACUCUGUGCCAGCAGCCGCGGUAAUACAGAGGUCUCAAGCGUUGUUCGGAAUCACUGGGCGUAAGGCGUGCGUAGGCUGUUUUGUAAGUCGGAUGUGAAAGGCGCGGGCUCAACCCGCGGACGGCAUAUGAUACUGCGAGACUAGAGUAAUGGAGGGGGAACCGGAAUUCUCGGUGUAGCAGUGAAAUGCGUAGAUAUCGAGAGGAACACUCGUGGCGAAGGCGGGUUCCUGGACAUUAACUGACGCUGAGGCACGAAGGCCAGGGGAGCGAAAGGGAUUAGAUACCCCGGUAGUC
rnacentral:rRNA from 1 species